rnacentral:rRNA from 1 species
GGUACAUCGGUGACAGGUGGUGCAUGGUUGUCGUCAGCUCGUGUCGUGAGAUGUUGGGUUAAGUCCCGCAACGAGCGCAACCCCUAUUGUUAGUUGCCAUCAUUCAGUUGGGCACUCUAGCGAGACUGCCGGUAAUAAACCGGAGGAAGGUGGGGAUGACGUCAAAUCAUCAUGCCCCUUAUAACCUGGGCUACACACGUGCUACAAUGGUUGGUACAACGAGUUGCGAGUCGGUGACGGCGAGCUAAUCUCUUAAAGCCAAUCUCAGUUCGGAUUGUAGGCUGCAACUCGCCUACAUGAAGUCGGAAUCGCUAGUAAUCGCGGAUCAGCACGCCGCGGUGAAUACGUUCCCGGGCCUU